UUCUCAGCAGAAUGACUUUAGAAAAAAAAUGAUACAGACACAUCCAGACUUACUACUGAAAAUUGCAGAGCACUAAAACAGGGUUCAAAGAAGGCUGGAAAAGAUCUGUAGAUGAACUUACCAUGGAAUGAGUAACCAAAGCAACUUUGUCAACAGCAGCAAUGUAAGCCAGGAAACAAUGAAAACUCUGUGGCGUGCUGACAAGCGGAGAAAAAACUCAACCUUGAAGUGCAUACUUAAUUGAAAAUACAGGAACGGAGCUGUCCUCUACUUCAUUCUGCACAAUGAAUAGAGCAAGAUGGCUUCCCCGCUUGCUCACAAGACCCACAGCUCUGCAACUUGCUUUCGGAGGGAUUUGUCUUCAUUCUCUUGCCAGCUGCACCUAGGCUCUGCGUCUUUGUCUUCAUUUCUUGCCCUAGGAGAUAAUGGGGAAAGGUUGUUGCACUGUAUCCGUUUGGGCUGGAAAAACAGCUUACUUUUUGUGGAUCCGUGUUCUUGUGUGUUCAACAUAGCACUUCUUGCAUAACCAGUAAACACCUUCCCUCCUAC